AAGACUUAACCGAGAGUAGAAAAAACUGUUGAAACUGGAGCUUUCAGAAUAGUUGGAAAUCUGAACGUUUUAGCUCACAGGGAUGUGUCUAAAAUGCGUUAACGUCAUUAUUUCAAUUGA